GGGGAGGUUUUCAUGCAGUCGAACGGAUCUGUACUGAAACCUAGUGAUUUACAGGUUAGUGGCGGACGGGUGAGUACCGCGUGGAAAACCUGCCGUAUACUGGGGGAUAACACUUAGAACUAGGUGCUAAUACCGCAUAAGCGCACAGACCCGCAUGGGACAGUGUGGAAAACAAAAAGCUAAAGCUUUUUAUGGUAUACGAUGGUUCCGCGUCUGAUUAGCUUGUUGGCGGGGUAACGGCCCACCAAGGCGACGAUCAGUAGCCGGCCUGAGAGGGUGAACGGCCACAUUGGGACUGAGACACGGCCCAGACUCCUACGGGAGGCAGCAGUGGGGAAUAUUGCACAAUGGGGGAAACCCUGAUGCAGCGACGCCGCGUGAGUGAAGAAGUAUCUCGGUACGUAAAGCUCUAUCAGCAGGGAAGAAAAAAAGUCUUUGGCUUUGGACGGUACCUGACUAAGAAGCCCCGGCUAACUACGUGCCAGCAGCCGCGGUAAUACGUAGGGGGCAAGCGUUAUCCGGAUUUACUGGGUGUAAAGGGAGCGUAGACGGCAGCGCAAGUCUGGAGUGAAAUGCCGGGGCUCAACCCCGGAACUGCUUUGGAAACUGUGCAGCUAGAGUGCGGGAGAGGUAAGCGGAAUUCCUAGUGUAGCGGUGAAAUGCGUAGAUAUUAGGAGGAACACCAGUGGCGAAGGCGGCUUGCUGGAUCGUAACUGACGUUGAGGCUCGAAAGCGUGGGGGAGCAACAAG
rnacentral:rRNA from 1 species